GAAAAUCAGUCAGUCAGUCAAACAGAGUGUCGCUUACUCCUAAUCACACAUCUAAAACGCACUUUGUGGAAGUUACCUGUGGAGCUGAUGUUUAGGCCAAGGGAGACACCUCCCUCUUGGGCUAGCACCUCACCAGGCACCACGUCUGUCUGCUAGUCCAGAUCGCCCGCUGGUCCGACGACCGCCUCCUCUGGCCUGUGGUGGUUCUGACUGGGCUAGACCACUACUGGACCACCAACAACCUGGGUCAUGUUCCCGGUCCGACUGAGACCACUUUUCUCUGGGGUGAAGUUAGAGAUCUAGGAUCAGCUUCCCGGGCUCCCCCAAUCCUGAC
rnacentral:lncRNA from 1 species